AACCAGCACCUCAAGUGGUCAGGAUGAUUAUUGGGCCUAAAGCAUCCGUAGCUCGUUUUGUAAGUUUUCGGUUAAAUCCAUACGCUUAACGUAUGGGCUGCCGGGAAUACUGCAUAACUAGGAAGUGGGAGAGGUAGACGGUACUCGGUAGGAAGGGGUAAAAUCCUUUGAUCUAUUGAUGACCACCUGUGGCGAAGGCGGUCUACCAGAACACGUUCGACGGUGAGGGAUGAAAGCUGGGGGAGCAAACCGG
rnacentral:rRNA from 3 species